AUUAUCCAUCGGAGCGUGUGCAGCCAUACCGGUCAUGUGCGGCGAUUGCCAUUGUGAGCCGUUGUUGAGGGACAGACGAGUCGUGAAGUAGGACUAUAUUUUGAGAUCAGUGGUGCCGAAGCAGUUAAAAACACUGGAGAUAUGUGUAUCGAGAUUUCUCUGCCAAAGCAUUUCCAAUCCAUGGUAUUUAUGUCGGUGUCGAGGUUGAGUGGCACGAAAACUGGCAGAGUCAUAAAGAACUUUACGUGACGGAGAAAAGAAGCUACAACUGAACAUAUUUACUACAAAAAAGAACAUAAGGAAUGUACCAGCAAUCAAGAUAAACAAAUUAUCCCUCAAUAUCUUGAGUAAAACAAAGUGACAUUCUUUAUCCACUAGAGAUUCGAGUUGCAGAAUGCAAAAUAAAAAAGAAUAUUUUA
rnacentral:lncRNA from 13 species